GCCCUCCUUUUCACUUUGCCAACAGAAAUCUCUCAAGUAUUCACUGGUCAUUCAAGGGAAGCAAAAAAACACAGCCUUUAAGAAAUUCAGGCUAGAAGCUAGCUGGGUGUUUGUCUUGUAUCCUGCUGUCAGGCACCCGAU
rnacentral:snoRNA from 1 species